AUGAUUCGCACUACUCAACCAAUUAUAGACCCUCUUUGUCUGCCUCUCUCUCUCUCUCUUCCUCCCUAUCUAUCUGCUUCUCUCUCUCUCUCUCUUUCUCCCUAUCUAUCUGCUUCCCUCUCCCUAUCUCUCUUCCUCCCUAUCUAUCUGCUUCUCUCUCUCUCUCUUCCUCCCUAUCUAUCUGCUUCUCUCUCUCUCUUCCUCCCUAUCUAUCUGCUUCCCUCUCUCUCUCUCUCUCUUCCUCCCUAUCUCUCUGUUUCUCUCUCUCUCUUCCUCCCUAUCUAUCUGCUUCUCUCUCUCUCUCUUCCUCCCUAUCUAUCUGCUUCCCUCUCUCUCUCUCUUCCUCCCUAUCUAUCUGCUUCUUUCUCUCUCUCUCUUCCUCCCUAUCUAUCUGCUUCUCUCUCUCUCUCUCUCUCUUCCUCCCUAUCUAUCUGCUUCCCUCUCUCUCUCUUCCUCCCUAUCUAUCUGCUUCUCUCUAUCUCUCUCUCUUCCUCCCUAUCUAUCUGCUUCUCUCUCUCUCUUCCUCCCUAUCUAUCUGCUUCUCUCUCUCUCUCUUCCUCCCUAUCUAUCUGCUUCCCUCUCUCUCUCUCUCUCUUCCUCCCUAUCUCUCUGUUUCUCUCUCUCUCUUCCUCCCUAUCUAUCUGCUUCUCUCUCUCUCUCUCUCUUCCUCCCUAUCUAUCUGCUUCCCUCUCUCUCUCUUCCUCCCUAUCUAUCUGCUUCUCUCUCUCUCUCUCUUCCUCCCUAUCUAUCUGCUUCUCUCUCUCUCUCUCUCUCUCUCUCUCUUCCUCCCUAUCUAUAUGCUUCUCUCUCUCUCUCUCUUCCUCCCUAUCUAUCUGCUUCUCUCUCUCUCUCUUCCUCCCUAUCUAUCUGCUUCUCUCUCUCUCUCUCUUCCUCCCUAUCUAUCUGCUUCUCUCUAUCUCUCUUCCUCCCUAUCUAUCUGCUCCUCUCUCUCUCUCUCUCUCUCUCUUCCUCCCUAUCUAUCUGCCUCUCUCUCUCUUCCUCCCUAUCUAUCUGCAUUUCUCUCUCUCUCUCUUCCUCCCUAUCUAUCUGCUUCUCUCUCUCUCUUCCUCCCUAUCUAUCUGCUUCUCUCUCUCUCUUCCUCCCUAUCUAUCUGCUUCUCUCUCUCUCUCUCUCUCUCUCUCUCGCUUCCUCCCUAUCUAUCUGCUUCUCUCUCUCUCUCUUCCUCCCUAUCUAUCUGCCUCUCUCUCUCUUCCUCCCUAUCUAUCUGCGUUUCUCUCUCUCUCUCUUCCUCCCUAUCUAUCUGCUUCUCUCUCUCUCUUCCUCCCUAUCUAUCUGCUUCUCUCUCUCUCUUCCUCCCUAUCUAUCUGCUUCUCUCUCUCUCUCUCUCUCUCGCUUCCUCCCUAUCUAUCUGCUUCUCUCUCUCUCUCUUCCUCCCUAUCUAUCUGCUUCUCUCUCUCUCUUCCUCCCUAUCUAUCUGCUUCCCUCUCUCUCUAUCCCCCUCUCUCUCGCUCUCUCUCUCUCUUCCUCCCUCUCUCUCUCUCUCCCUCUCUUCCUCCCCCUCUCUCUCGCUCUCUCUCUCUUCCUCCCUCUCUCUCUCUCUCUCUCUCUCUCUUCCUCCCUCCCUCUCCCUCUCUCUCGCUCUGCCUCGUUCUCAAUUCUUUCAAUUUAAUUUGCUUUAUUGUCAUGACGUAA
rnacentral:lncRNA from 1 species